rnacentral:rRNA from 1 species
AUUCCAGCUCCAAUAGCGUAUAUUAAAGUUGCUGCAGUUAAAAAGCUCGUAGUUGGAUUUGUGGCGCGGCCGUCCGGCACGGAUCCUUCAUUGGGCCCGUUUGUCCGGUUUUUCGGCCGCCCCAUUCUCGGGUAGUGUGUCGCUGGCAUUAGGUUGUCGGCUUCUUCACGCCCGUCGUUUACUGUGAAAAAAUUAGAGUGUUCAAAGCAGGCUUAGGCCGUUGGAUACAUUAGCAUGGAAUAAUGGGAUAGGGCCACGACGGUCUAUUUUGUUGGUUUGCACGUUGUGGUAAUGAUUAACAGGAACGGUUGGGGGUAUUCGUAUUCAAUUGUCAGAGGUGAAAUUCUUGGAUUUAUGGAAGACGAACUACUGCGAAAGCAUUUACCAAGGAUGUUUUCAUCA